UCUUAUUUUUUCUUGAAGAAAAGGUAGAAUAUUUAAUUUUAGAAUAUCAAGUUUCAUAUUUUAUUUAAAUUAAAUGACCUUGGAACCUCUAUUAUGCCGCGCGCGCUGAAUUUUGUUUUCACAUGGCUAGUCUCAUAAUAUUGCCGUCAGAUAGCGUUACGAAUACCGUUUGUUCACGUUCUAGACUUAAGUGCUCACCAUAAGUAGAUAAAACUAGUCGCAGCUGAUUUGCGCAGCUGAGUUGUCUACUUAUUUACACGUUUGUGAUAUUCGUGAAGUGUUAAUGAAGUGUUUUGUGGUAAGCGGAAUGGCGUUGCAGUGAAGAUCCGUCGGCCGUCGUCCGUCGUCCGUCGGCUUUCCUCCCAAUGAGCAAUCAAGACUUGCCUUUUAUUUGCGGUGUUGAUGUUCAUUUUCAAAUUACAAGAUUGCUGCGGUUUUAUUGCCGGUUACUGUGUGACUUUGUCGGUCAAUCGAAUACAUAUUCCUGCCAUGUUUUUUCCGUCAUUAGGAGUUCUUUUCGUGCUUGAGUAAGUAACUUUUAUCUGACCAUUUCGAAUGUUUGUUUUCUCCGAUGUGUGAAUAUAUUAUUAUUUUAUUGUAUCAUAGAGUAUAAAUUAAAGCAAUAUUUGAGAUUUGAUAGGCAUUAUUAAAUUGCUUAUGACUGACAUUUUCAUGCAAUAUCAAGUUUGUUGCAUAUAUGAUAAAAUGUGUUUAAAAUUUAAACCUGCUAUUAGUAGAUAGUCGGUUAGAUGGCACUACGACGCACGUUUUCGCGUUAAAUAUUGCUUGUUGGUGGUAGUGAGUGCACACCGUGUCCGUGUGCGAUCACGCGAUUUCGCACAAGAGAUAAGUUUGUUUACCUGCUGAUAUCACAUCUUACAGUUCAUAUUGGCAUCGUCUAAGCAAGUAUUCUUCAAUUCUCAAGUCAUGAAUAUAACUAACAAUUUUACAUUAGGUGUAAUAGUUUAUUAUAAAAAUCUAAACAUUAAAUUUAUUGCGAGAAAUAUCCGUAACGCGAGUUAUUGAAAGUUGUGUGUGUGUGUCGUAGUACUUGUAUAUUAAGAAUUAGGGGUAGAAGUAACUCGUGUUCAGGGUACCGUACGGAGAUAGCGGUAGAAGUGACUCGUGUUCACGGCACCGUACGAAGGUAGCGGUAGAAGUGACUCGUGUUCAGGGCACCGUUCGAAGGUAGCGGUUAGAGGUCACUCGUGUUCAGGGCACCGUACGAAGGUAGCGGUAGAAGUGACUCGUGUUCAGGGCACCACACGAAGGUAGCGGUAGAAGUGACUCGUGUUCAGGGCACCGUACGAGGCUAGCGGUAAAAGUGACUCGUGUUUACGGCACCCUACGAAGGUAGCGGUUGAAGUGACUCGUGUUCAGGGCACCCUACGAAGAUAUACUUAUUUUGCCUAUUUUAAUACUUUAUUUUAUAGAUAUAUUAAUAGUCGCGGUGUUGUAAACAUCAAUUAUUUAAUUAACUAAGAUAUACAGUAAUCUUAUUCGAAGACAAUUAGAAAAUAAUAAAUUAUUUAUUUAUUUGUAUUGGUACAUUACAAAUUCCUGUUUAUCUUUAUUCUUAUUGCGUCCAAAACCAAUAUAUUCUUUUCUUAUGCCGAGAAAUAUUGAAAGUAAAAGCAUAUUUCGUAUAUUGUGAAUUUUUACUUUCGUCUUCUCAACUACGUGUUUACCACUUCGUUUGUGUAUAAACAACUUUUUGUUCGACUGACGCUACGUACGCUAUCGCUUAUCGCUACGUACCUGCCUUGUACCUGGUUUCGCGCAGCGCACACGGGAGUCGUUUCACCGCGUAGUCCGCGAACGCGUGUCUCUAAUCGCCACGCGUUUUCAGACUUAAAUUAUUCAAUUAAUCAUCGUGUAUUCUUUUCGUCAUCAACAAAAUAUUCGAAACGAGCAUGUGUGCCUGUUUUGUUUGAUGAGUUGUGGCGGUUAGACUGUUCUUAAGUGAGAUAUAAGUGUCCGUUAAUCUCUGCGCGAGUUUUCAGUUGAUCAGAUUUAUUUCUGGGUCAAAAAUUUCUUCAUCAAUGCACUGGUACGUGUUUAAUCACUUUUUUUCGCGGAUAGUUAAGACGGUUUAACUUAAAUUGAUUAUUCCAUUUGAGGGAUAUUAAUUUUGCAGAUUACAAACACGUGGUAGCAUUUUUAUCAAAAUUCUCAGUCCUGUUACCGAAAAUAACAUGCAUAAUUUAAUUAUUACAAACACUGUCUUAAAAAGUAUCUGAGGAUUAUUAAAAUGACAAUAUUCAUGUGGUCGACCACGCUCACUUUGCCGUCGACCGUCGGCUCGUUCCUCUUUUCGCUGAACGAAAUCUAAUUACACUCCUUAUCAUCAUUAAAUUAAAAAGUUUCUUGUUGAUCUAAUAUAAUCUUAUACGUUGAAAAGUUUUUCGCUAUAAUAGUUUCCAUAUAUCUUAAUAUUUACAAGUAAAUAGUUAUUUUUAUCGUAUUUACAUACGCUUGCCGUCUGCUGAUUUGGAUGUUUUCCGCCUGAUGUUCUAUCAAUUUAUGAUGAUGCUUCACCCGUCGGUUACCUUAUGCAGUUGAUGAUAUCAACUGAUAAAUAUAUACACAAUAUAUCAAAAUGUAAGUGUUUUAUUCUUAUAGCAACUUUUUUACUUAACUUUUCCGAUGAUUUUUGGGUAAAAUCUUUGAAUUUAUGUUAAAAUAUAGUUGUUUCGGUAUAAAUUUCUUUCGUCAUGAUGUGAAUGUUGAUCAUAUUUGUAAUUUUUAAAAUUUUCCUUUUGUAUCACCCUGUAUAUAUGUUUUCCUAACAGUACUUUAGUAAAUAGCCUUUAUUUGUGAGUUUUGAGUGUUCUUUGUUUUAAACUUGGGAUUUUUAAGUUUUUUGUAACACCCUGUUUAAUAAUUUCCCGGAGCAUCGGGUGGAAACGAGCAAUAUUUGUAGUGUUUUCCUUUUUUGGUUGAAUUUUCUAUAUGUGACACCGUGAAAAAACAGCGAUAUUUGAGUGUUUAGAUGAUUUCCUGUCUGCACCUAAUUUUCUUUUGUAACACCCUGUAUAUUUAUUUCCGUUUUCAAUCACGAUGAUAAUUGACUUUGCUAAUUGCUUUAUCCCGCUAGAACUUCACUAAGUGGUACGCGGUUGCUUGCGCUGUUUAGCAGGUCGUAAGUCCUGUUUCAAUAUGCCAGCAUGAAUUUUGUUGACUUGUAAAAUCUAUACUUGUAUUAUUUUACAUUGUAUUUAUUAAUAAAGAAAUGUUAAGAAAUA